GCCUGUUCCCCUGCCCUGUUUGCCUGAUGGUGUGAUGUUUAGCUGUGAUCCCUAAUGGAGCAGACCUCCGCCGGGAAGCGGAAGUCCUGCCAACCGUGCAACAGCCCUGUUCAGUAUGGCUCCUCUGAUGACGUCUCCCCCUCCCAAAGUCACGAGGGCGCAUGCUUUCCAUCACAACCAGCGAGCCCAAGAGGAAGGAUCAGUAGAUACUCCGCGCACCCCCAGCGCAGAAUAAAGACUCAAGCUGACCACGUGAGGGUGGUGUAUUCCCCAAGUCGAGGAACUAAGGGAGUGGAUGGGCGGGUUGUUGGACCCAGCUCAGUCAUGUGGCUUGACGUCAGCUUCCAUACACAACUGCCCUUCUGCAGGAAUACCGGCCCGAAAAACUGGGUCAGUCACGCAUGGUUAGGUUAUACAUGAAUCCAUAUAUCCUAUGUGUCCAUAUCCCUGCCCUUUGCUUGAUUGACAAUACAGAAAUGUGCUUGCUCGAUAAUGAAGUCCCUCCAGGGAACUGACUCUGAAAUUAAACAUGUCUUCA
ensembl:lncRNA